CCUACGGGUGGCUGCAGUGGGGAAUAUUGGGCAAUGGGCGCAAGCCUGACCCAGCAACGCCGCGUGAAGGAAGAAGGCUUUCGGGUUGUAAACUUCUUUUCUGCGGGACGAAGAAAGUGACGGUACCUCAGGAAUAAGCCACGGCUAACUACGUUCAAACAGCCGCGGUAAUACGUCGGGUGCAAGCUUUAUCCGGAUUUGUUGGGUGUAAAGGGCGUGUAGGCGGGACAGCAAGUCAGAUGUGAAAACUCCGGGCUCAACCCUGCGCCUGCAUUUGAAACUGUGUUUCUGGAGUGCUGGAGAGGCAAGCGGAAUCCCGGGUGUAGCGGUGAAAUGCGUAGAUAUAAGGAGGAACACCAGUGGCGAAGGCGGAUUGCUGGACAGUAACUGACGCUGAGGCGCGAAAGCGUGGGGAGCAAACAGGAUUAGAUACCCUUGUAGUC
rnacentral:rRNA from 1 species